AACCAUUAAGUCGGGUGGUGGGGAUCAGUCGAUUCAUUGCCAAACUUAUCCAUCCUUCCCGAUAGAGGGAAAGGUCAGAGUGAGUUGUCCAUUCAUUUCUCCCCCGCCUUUAUUGACCGCAGAUUAAACUCCUUGAACGGAUCAAUCACCUCUUACUGGCUAGCCCAAGUACCGCGAGUCAACCAUCAGCCUUUUAUGGGUGGGAAGGGAAUAGAUGUCUAAAUAAAGCAACUGAAUGAAUUUUGUUGGGUAAGAAUCGAAAUGACUUCUCGACUGAUUACUGGCCGACUCCACUGUAGGAGCCAACAGCCGCUCAUCCGAUAGAGUGAGGAG
rnacentral:lncRNA from 1 species